rnacentral:tRNA from 1 species
CGGGGCGUAGCGCAGCCUGGUAGCGCACCUGCUUUGGGAGCAGGGGGUCGGAGGUUCAAAUCCUCUCGCCCCGACCA